AGGCGGCUGUCUGGUCUGUAACUGACGCUGAGGCUCGAAAGUAUGGGUAGCAAACAGGAUUAGAUACCCUGGUAGUCCAUACCGUAAACGAUGAAUGCUAAGUGUUGGAGGGUUUCCGCCCUUCAGUGCUGCAGCUAACGCAUUAAGCAUUCCGCCUGGGGAGUACGGCCGCAAGGCUGAAACUCAAAGGAAUUGACGGGGGCCCGCACAAGCGGUGGAGCAUGUGGUUUAAUUCGAAGCUACGCGAAGAACCUUACCAGGUCUUGACAUACUAUGCAAAUCUAAGAGAUUAGACGUUCCCUUCGGGGACAUGGAUACAGGUGGUGCAUGGUUGUCGUCAGCUCGUGUCGUGAGAUGUUGGGUUAAGUCCCGCAACGAGCGCAACCCUUAUUAUCAGUUGCCAGCAUUAAGUUGGGCACUCUGGUGAGACUGCCGGUGACAAACCGGAGGAAGGUGGGGAUGACGUCAAAUCAUCAUGCCCCUUAUGACCUGGGCUACACACGUGCUACAAUGGAUGGUACAACGAGUUGCGAACUCGCGAGAGUAAGCUAAUCUCUUAAAGCCAUUCUCAGUUCGGAUUGUAGGCUGCAACUCGCCUACAUGAAGUCGGAAUCGCUAGUAAUCGCGGAUCAGCAUGCCGCGGUGAAUACGUUCCCGGGCCUUGUACACACCGCCCGUCACACCAUGAGAGUUUGUAACACCCAAAGUCGGUGGGGUAACCUUUUAGGAACCAGCCGCCUAA
rnacentral:rRNA from 2 species